GUCGGGAAUUUUGGGCAAUGGGCGAAAGCCUGACCCAGCAACGCCGCGUGAAGGAUGAAGUCUUUCGGGAUGUAAACUUCGAAAUUAUAGGAAGAAUCAAUGACGGUACUAUAAGUAAGCUCCGGCUAACUACGUGCCAGCAGCCGCGGUAAUACGUAGGGAGCAAGCGUUGUUCGGAUUUACUGGGCGUAAAGGGUGCGUAGGCGGCGCGACAAGUCACUUGUGAAAUCUCCGGGCUUAACUCGGAACGGCCAAGUGAUACUGUUGUGCUAGAGUGCAGGAAGGGCAACUGGAAUUCUUGGUGUAGCGGUGAAAUGCGUAGAUAUCAAGAGGAACACCUGAGGCGAAGGCGAGUUGCUAGACUGACACUGACGCUGAGGCACGAAAGCUAGGGGAGCGAACGGG
rnacentral:rRNA from 1 species